UAUAAACCUGCGUUAGUGUUUGAAGCGGCAUCCUUUUUUACAAUAUAACGCAGUGGAAUUGUAAAAAAGAUACAGCGGAAAGCACGACCCGUA
rnacentral:sRNA from 2 species